rnacentral:rRNA from 1 species
GACGAACGCUGUCGGCGUGCUUAACACAUGCAAGUCGAACGGAAAGGCUCCGCCUUGCUGGAAUACUCGAGUGGAAAACGGGAGAAUAACACGUGGGAAAUCUGCCCUGCACUCUGAGAUAAUCCUGAAAAACUGGCUCUAAUACUAGAUAAGACCUUUCUCCUUAUGGGGUUUGAAGGAAAGUUUUUCGGAGUAUGAUGACCCCGCCUACUAUCAUCUUGUUGGUGGAAUGAUGGACUACCAAGGCGACGACUGGUAGCCCGCCUAAGAGGGAGAUCCGCCUCAUUACUACUAAAAUACCGCCAAUACUCCUACAGGAGGCAGCGGUGAAUAAUAUUGCACGAUGGGCGGAAUCCUGAUGCAACGACGCCUCGUGAAGGAUGACCGCCUUCUGGUUGACAAACCUCUUUCAGCAAGGACGAUUCUUAAGUGACGGCACCUGCAAAAAAAGCACCGGAUAACUACGUGCCAACACCCGCGAUAAUACAUAGGGCGAGAGCGUUGUCCAGAAUUACUGGGCAUAAAGAUCUCAUAUGCGGUGUGUCACCUCCUCUGAGAAAUCCUAGGGCUUAACCCUGGACGUGCACGAUAUACGGGUUGACUUGAUGACGACAGGGGAGACUGAAAUUUCUGGUGUAGCGGUGGAAUGCACAGAUAUCAGGAAGAACACCGAUGGCGAAGGCACGUCUCUGGGUAGUAACUGACGCUGAGGAGCGAAAGCAUGGGUAGCGAACACGGUUAGAUACCCUGGUAGUCCAUGCCGUAAACGGUGGGCGCUAGGUGUGGGGUUCCUUCCACGGGCUCCGCGCCGUAGGUAACGCAUUAAGCGCCCCGCCUGGGGGAGUACGGCCGCCAGGCUAAAACUCAAAGAAAUUGACGGGGGCCCGCACCAGCGGCGGAGCCAGUGGAUUAAUUUGAUGCAACGCGAAGAACCUUACCUGGGCUUGACAUAUAGAGGAUCGCUACAUAGAUGUAGGUUUCCCUCUGUUGGCUUCUAUACAACGUGGUGGCACGGUGUGUUCGUCAGCAUCGUCGUCGUCGAGAUGAUGGGUUAAGUCCCGCAACGAGCGCAACCCUUGUCUUAUGUUGCCACCACGUUAUGGUGGGGACUCGUGAGAGACUGCCGGGGUCAACUCGGAGGAAGGUGGGGAUGACGUCAAAUCAUCAUGCCCCUUAUGUCCAGGGCUUCACACACGCUACAAUGGCCGGUACAGAGGGCUGCGACGCCGUGAGGCGGAGCGAAUCUCUUAAAGCCGGCCUCAGUUCGGAUUGGGGUCUGCAACUCGACCCCAUGAAGUCGGAGUCGCUAGUAAUCGCAGAUCAGCAACGCUGCGGUGAAUACGUUCCCGGGCCU